rnacentral:rRNA from 1 species
UCCCAGACUCCUACGGGAGGCAGCAGUGAGGAAUAUUGGUCAAUGGGCGGAAGCCUGAACCAGCCAAGUCGCGUGAGGGAAGAAGGCCCUGCGGGUCGCAGACCUCUUUGGACGGGGAGCAAGGCCGCCGACGUGUCGGCGGAAGGAGAGUACCCGUAGAACAAGCAUCGGCUAACUCCGUGCCAGCAGCCGCGGUAAUACGGAGGAUGCGAGCGUUAUCCGGAUUUAUUGGGUUUAAAGGGAGCGUAGACGGCAUAGCAAGUCUGAAGUGAAAGCCCAAGGCUCAACCAUGGGACUGCUUUGGAAACUGUUAAGCUAGAGUGCUGGAGAGGUAAGCGGAGUUCCUAGUGUAGCGGUGAAAUGCGUAGAUAUUAGGAAGAACACCAGUGGCGAAGGCGGCUUACUGGACAGUAACUGACGUUGAGGCUCGAAAGCGUGGGGAGCGAACAGGAUUAGAUACCCUAGUA